AUUGAACGCUGGCGGAAUGCUUUACACAUGCAAGUCGAACGGCAGCACGGGGGCAACCCUGGUGGCGAGUGGCGAACGGGUGAGUAAUACAUCGGAACGUGCCCAGUCGUGGGGGAUAACGUAGCGAAAGUUACGCUAAUACCGCAUACGAUCUACGGAUGAAAGCGGGGGACCGUAAGGCCCCGCGCGAUUGGAGCGGCCGAUGUCAGAUUAGGCAGUUGGUGAGGUAAAGGCUCACCAAGCCGACGAUCUGUAGCUGGUCUGAGAGGACGACCAGCCACACUGGGACUGAGACACGGCCCAGACUCCUACGGGAGGCAGCAGUGGGGAAUUUUGGACAAUGGGCGCAAGCCUGAUCCAGCCAUUCCGCGUGCAGGACGAAGGCCUUCGGGUUGUAAACUGCUUUUGUACGGAACGAAAAGGCUCUGGUUAAUACCUGGGGCUCAUGACGGUACCGUAAGAAUAAGCACCGGCUAACUACGUGCCAGCAGCCGCCGUAA
rnacentral:rRNA from 1 species